rnacentral:rRNA from 1 species
UACGUAGGGGGCAAGCGUUGUCCGGAAUUAUUGGGCGUAAAGAGCGCGUAGGCGGUCCGAUAAGUCGGCUGUGAAAGUCAAGGGCUCAACCCUUGGAAGCCGGCCGAUACUGUCGGACUAGAGUCCGGAAGAGGCGAGUGGAAUUCCCGGUGUAGCGGUGAAAUGCGCAGAUAUCAGGAGGAACACCGGUGGCGAAGGCGGGUCUCUGGGCAGUAACUGACGCUGAGGAGCGAAAGCGUGGGGAGCGAACAGG